CUCAGUUGGGGCUAGUGGAGGAGGAGGAACUGUUGAUUCUCCAGGUUGUUGGGACCAUGAAGCUGGAUUGUGCUGCCUGCAGAGUCUGACAGAUGCUGAGUGAUUGCCAGCCCAGGAGAUGCCUGAGAUGGGCUUUAUGGCGGGAGAUUAAAAAGCAGUAGUCACACCUGGGCUGGGUGCAAGGACAUAGAAGUGAUAGCUGAGUGGAGUACUGCUUUCCCCUCAGCUGUAUACACAGUUGAUGACCGGAGCAGAGUGUAAUGUCUCCUGAAGAGUAAAGGCCAAAACCCUUCGGACGUCCAGAUAAUACAGCUGUCUCUCCUCUUCCAAGGCAUGAGGCUUAGAGAAAAACACAGAGUACGGAUGGGAGAUGGAUACCACAUGGAUAGCUGCUUUAUCAAAAUGAUGGUUGGAUACACAGAUGGAUGGAUAGACAACUGGUGUCAAAUGCUUCUCAAUCGUGUAUCAAAAACAUCUCACAGCAAACAUCCCAACAUGUAGGUAACAGUUCAGAUACUCAAAACAACAGACGCAGCAUUACUUGGCACUGACUGCAGCUCCUCACCUGUUUGUUGGGAUGAGACCUAUCGAAGCCCAAAACGAGGUCAGGGAUCCUACUGUGUAACAGCAGAUCUGCGGCUCUGAAUGGAAUAGAGAAGCCCUGGAUAUUGCUGCAGAAGUCCAUGGUGAUCCAGAGGUACUGGGCGUAGGCAUCCACGAAGAUGUACUGCAGAGGGGGGAGAGGAAACAGGAACAAAAAACAAAAUCAGACCAUAGGAAUUUAUAAGCAGAAGAUGAGAAUGGUACAGAACAAGGAAGUUACCAGUAGUGGACUACAGACUACAAGGCUUACCAUGUAAACCUAUCUGCAGCGGAAUGCAUCCUGUAUCUGCAACACUCAUUCUGGCACCCCAAGAGGGCUGUGGUAGAACUGUGAGAUGGCCACAUCGCUGGUGUUCCCUGCACCGAAGCUGAAUUUCUCCGAUAUCUUUUUAAACGUCUUCCCGUAGUCAUACGACACAUAAACCUGCAAAAGAAAAGGUUCCCGCUGUUAUGGAGACACAGGUUUAAUUUCCGUGAUGGCAGUCCGUGCCUUUCUCUUGAGAACGGCUUCUUAAAGUUUUAUGCAACUGUUGGGGGGAAAAACCACACAAUGCAGAAGGGACAGAGUCCACUCUCCUUUCUAUUGGCAACAACGGUGCCGGAAAACAAAGUGCAUGAAACGCCCUUCAGGGAAGCCCAGGGGACAGCAGGUGCCAUGAUGUCCAGGAUGUGGAGCAGGUCGCAGGGAAUUAGAAUCAAGUAUGGAGAUACAGCAUCUUGGAAGGAACCACUGGCUUUAGAAGCUGAGCCUUGUGAUACGGGGGGAGAGACUGAUUUUCCCCCCCCUUUGCCGCCAAGGAAAAAGACAUUAAGGAAACUCUCUAGUCAAGUCUCAGUUUCCUGUCCCUUACAUGCCAUUAAUAGCACACAGUACAGGAAAUUUACAAGCAAUGUGAUGCAGAUCACGAGGACUCAAUUUGUCUGCCUCAGUAGAUUCAUGGUUGAGUCAGCUGUAGCACCAUUUGAAUCUCUGUGGCAAGAAAGUCUAAAUGUCUUAUAGCUGAAGUCCAGAAGAAUAGGACAUCUUCUUUCAAGCAUAUAACAGAAAGACAUGCUCUUAUGAAGCAGUAGAAUAGGUUAAAAUAUGUCACCUUAUAUAAAAGUACUUCCAAGGCUCUCUCCAUAAUUUAAAAAAAAAAAAUCCAUCUACUUACAUUGCUUUUCUUGGGUCUCAGUAACCCCAGGCUGUCUCUAGCCAAGGCCACGAUCACAUUGCUCUUUUCUCCUGCCCAGUGAACGACCAUCUGAUUGUGAGAAUCAUUCAGACUGACCUGAAACACAAAUGAAAUGAAUAUAAAAUGGUUAGCCAGGGCAAUGGACAUAGAAAUACCUAGACAGCCCCCACACAAGUAAAUUUUUCUUCCCUAUGUGCAAGGAUGGAGAAAAGUGUUUGCAGUAACAAUUUAAUUCAUAUAAAGACACUGAACAUUCAGUGUAACCAGGCAGACACUAACACACAGAUGUUUGGUUUUAGGACUAGUCCCUUGGAGGACUGGACAGCUCAGGAACUGGUGCUUUGUCAUAGUGCACGGGUUCUGUAGGUCAGCGGUUCUCAACUGUGGCCGCUGUGGCUGCAUGCGGCCACCAGGGGCUUUUCUUGCAGCCACAUCCUCCUAGGCAGUCACUGAGGAUGGGGCAAAGCAGCGGUUCCUCUCCUGGGGCUGCAAGGAGAGGUUGUGCCCUGCCCCUUUUGGAGCCACAAGUGCCAGAGGAGCAGAGAGCUGGUGAGUUCCCCACCUUCCCAGGGGCCUCAGGCUCCAGCCCUGGGCUGUGACCAUGGGGCUUUGGACUGUGGGUUUUGGCUGUGCAGUGGCGAGCUCUGUUUCCCCAGCCUCUGGGCUCACCACCCCCCUCAUCACUGCUGGCCCCUGCUGCGGCCUCCAGCAUCUCACCCAUCACCCUUGGCCCCCCGCUUUCUCCCUACCCACCUCCCCAUCCAGGGCUUAAUUUGUCCCCCAGUUUGCCAGGGCUGAGAGAGUCUGCUGUGAAAAGUGGUAUGUGUAUGUUUGUAAAUAUCACUCAUCACAGCCUCAGAGCUAGAUAACAAGUCUGCUGCUGUGAAAAGUGAUAUUAACAAAUAUACAAAUAUCACUUUUCACAGGAGCAGACUUACUAGCUGGAAGUCUUAAAAAAGGGCAAAAAAAAAAACCCAACAAAAAAGACAAGAACAUGCAAAACACUUUGUAUUUCUAUUCUGUUUAGGUCCAGUAAAGAAUCAAGACAACUGUACAUUAUUAUGAUUAUUGAAAAUGCAAAUAAAAACCCUACAUAAAUAAAUUACUAUGAGUUGGACUUGUGUAUGUGCAUAUUUAUUUGUUUUUCCUACAUUAAUUAUUUUAGGGGAAACUGUCCUAGUGGCCACCAGCAAGCUUUGGUGGCUGAACUCUGAGGCCACUAACGAUGUGUGGUGAGAACCACUGCUCUAGGU